AUUCCAGCUCCAAUAGCGUAUAUUAAAGUUGUUGCAGUUAAAACGCUCGUAGUCGGAUUUCGGGGCGGGCCGACCGGUCUGCCGAUGGGUAUGCACUGGCCGGCGCGUCCUUCCACCCGGAGACCGCGCCUACUCUUAACUGAGCGGGCGCGGGAGACGGGUCUUUUACUUUGAAAAAAUCAGAGUGUUUCAAGCAGGCAGUCGCUCUUGCAUGGAUUAGCAUGGGAUAAUGAAAUAGGACUCUGGUGCUAUUUUGUUGGUUUCUAGAACUGAAGUAAUGAUUGAUAGGGAUAGUUGGGGGUGCUAGUAUUCAGCGGCCAGAGGUGAAAUUCUUGGAUUCGCUGAAGACUAACUUAUGCGAAAGCAUUCACCAAGGAUGUCUUCAUCA
rnacentral:rRNA from 1 species